GGGUGACGCACCCGGAACCAGAAAAGAGGGAGCUCUAUUCCGGGGUGUGUCACCCGAGAACCACCCUCUCACAAGCCGGGACCCCUGAGGGGAUGUCAGAGAGCCAGUUUCGGCCUGAUCCCUACAGGCCAGGCAGAGGGACCCCACUGGUGCACAAAUCCAUGCACUGGGCCUCUAAUCCUGCUGGGUCCUGCCAGAAAAACAGAGGGUGUUCAAUGAGGGAGCACACUUAAUGGAAAAUUCGUUGCAUUUUUUCUAAUGCUUAAAUUGGUAGUCUGUGUGUCAUAUGCUGAACACAUAGAAAUUCAUGUACGUGCAUGGGGAAGUUCAACACAAUCUGGUAAAUGUCCAUAAAUUUGA